rnacentral:rRNA from 1 species
AUUGAACGCUGGCGGCAGGCUUAACACAUGCAAGUCGAGCGGAAACGAUCCUAGCUUGCUAGGAGGCGUCGAGCGGCGGACGGGUGAGUAAUGCAUGGGAAUCUGCCCGGUAGUGGGGGAUAACCUGGGGAAACCCAGGCUAAUACCGCAUACGUCCUACGGGAGAAAGGGGGCUCCGGCUCCCGCUAUUGGAUGAGCCUAUGUCGGAUUAGCUAGUUGGUGAGGUAAUGGCUCACCAAGGCAACGAUCCGUAGCUGGUCUGAGAGGAUGAUCAGCCACAUCGGGACUGAGACACGGCCCGAACUCCUACGGGAGGCAGCAGUGGGGAAUAUUGGACAAUGGGGGCAACCCUGAUCCAGCCAUGCCGCGUGUGUGAAGAAGGCCCUCGGGUUGUAAAGCACUUUCAGCGAGGAAGAACGCCUGGCGGUUAAUACCCGCCAGGAAAGACAUCACUCGCAGAAGAAGCACCGGCUAACUCCGUGCCAGCAGCCGCGGUAAUACGGAGGGUGCAAGCGUUAAUCGGAAUUACUGGGCGUAAAGCGCGCGUAGGUGCUUGAUAAGCCGGUUGUGAAAGCCCCGGGCUCAACCUGGGAACGGCAUCCGGAACUGUCAGGCUAGAGUGCAGGGGAGGAAGGUAGAAUUCCCGGUGUAGCGGUAAAUGCGUAAGAUCGGGAGGAAUACCAGUGGCGAAGGCGGCCUUCUGGACUGACACUGACACUAGGUGCGAAAGCGUGGGUAGCAAACAGGAUUAAUACCCUGGUAGUCACGCCGUAAACGAUUCACCACCUUUGGGUGCCUAGCGCACUUUGUGGCGAAUUACGCGAUAAUCGACGCCUGGGGAGUACGGCCGCAAGGUUAAAACUCAAAUGAAUUGACGG